UCAGCACAUGUUGCCUCUUACAACAGGUGGUGGAGAGCAAUCGGCGGCUCCCAGCAUUCCAGCUUUUCCAUGCCGGUGGCCCCUGGCAUUCUGGGAUUUACGCAGCCUCCCCUCCUUCCAACCACAGAGCCCUGACUGACAAGCUAAUCGUUGGGCUGGGAUCCCCUCAGCUAUUGAUUCCACUGCAACACAACACCUCCUAGUCAAUGAAACUGCAAUAUAAUGCUUGAGCUGCGAAGAAAAGGGGAGGAUUAGCGUGUUGAGCAACUGGAAGAAAUUUGCUGCUGCCGCCUCCGCUGUUCACUCCUCCUUGCAGCUGCUGGUUUCAUUUCUGUUGGAAUGACAGCAUGGGAACUAGGAAACAAAACCAGUUGAUGUGUAUCCACAAGGAGAUGGAUCUGAUGGAUCAUUUUGACAACAAGCUGAAUGCAACAAAUGUGGGUCAGCCAGGAGCAGCCACAUCAGCAGCGUCCGGGAACCAAGUCCAAGUACUCACACGAGCGCGUUAUGUUCUGCAUGGGUUUAUAUAUUAGGGUUUGUUUUGUGGAGGAAAUCCAUGUGAGCAUGGUGAGAACAUGUAAGCUCCACACACAAUGGCCAGGGAGACAAGAAAGGCCCACCUGAGCACCAAUCAGUGCCCCAUUCUGAAAUAGAAACUAGGACCUUCUUGCUGUGAGGUGGAACUGCACCACCUUGCCACUGCAAAAGGGCAUGAAGAACGUGUGAAAUGUACAGGUGUUAGAUACACUAACUUGAUACAAUAGAACCAGACAAAUCCGCCAAUUAAAAAAGGGUGAAUCAUUUCUCAGAGCAUUUUUCUUUAACAUGCUUAGAAAAACAUCAAUCUCCAAGGAGAAAUUACCAAAGGCAAUCCAGGACACAUCAGUGAAUUUGAGAAUCAGUGAAAAGUGGUGGACAUUUAACUAGCAAAACAGAGGUCAAAACUCAAGACACGUUUAAGGUCCCAGCCAAUUAGAUAGGGACUUUCUCAAAAAAGUUAACUUUACUAAUUAAUCAAAAUAUAUAUUUUUAUAGAUGUGUUAGCAAAUGCCCUGUGCAUAUUCUUCUAGUGUCAAUGCCCAGGCAUUUUCUUUGACACCAAGACCUGGGGGAGUUUGUCCAACUCCUGGAAUGCAGAGGGAGGCUCGUAAAUUACAGCCCCUAAUGAAAACUCACUGGUGCUCAACUGGAGCAAUCAUCUGGUUAAAAUAAAAUAGUAAUUCCACUAAUUUUCCUGCCCCAGCGCUCAAUACUUAAACUAGAAUUAUAAGCACAUGUUCCACUUUAUACACCAAUGUAUAUACAGUAAUCUGGUCCCCCCCCCCCCGCCCCCCCAAGCAAUAACAUUUAAACUUUUAAUAUCGGAAAGUAUCAAAUCAAAAGUUAGCAAGAUCUUUGUAAAUUAUUGUAGAUACUGUAGAAACUGUAAAAAAAUGACAAAUGACAUGAACACACAUUUCUUUGAAAGUAAGUUAAAAAAC